UACGUAGGGUGCAAGCGUUAAUCGGAAUUACUGGGCGUAAAGCGUGCGCAGGCGGUUUUGUAAGACAGGGGUGAAAUCCCCGGGCUUAACCUGGGAACUGCAUUUGUGACUGCAUAGCUAGAGUACGGUAGAGGGGGAUGGAAUUCCGCGUGUAGCAGUGAAAUGCGUAGAUAUGCGGAGGAACACCGAUGGCGAAGGCAAUCCCCUGGACCUGUACUGACGCUCAUGCACGAAAGCGUGGGGAGCAAACAGG
rnacentral:rRNA from 1 species